rnacentral:rRNA from 1 species
CCUACGGGUGGCUGCAGUGAGGAAUAUUGGUCAAUGGGCGUAAGCCUGAACCAGCCAAGUCGCGUGAGGGAAGACGGCUCUAUGGUUCGUAAACCUCUUUUAUAAGGGAAUAAAGUGGGCGACGUGUGCCGUUUUGUAUGUACCUUAUGAAUAAGGAGCGGCUAAUUCCGUGCCAGCAGCCGCGGUAAUACGGAGGUUCCGUGCGUUAUCCGGAUUUAUUGGGUUUAAAGGGAGCGUAGGCGGCCUUUCAAGUCAGCUGUGAAAGUCUGUGGCUCAACCAUAGAAUUGCAGUUGAAACUGGGGGGCUUGAGUAUGUGAGAGGCAGGCGGAAUGCGUGGUGUAGCGGUGAAAUGCGUAGAUAUCACGAAGAACCCCGAUUGCGAAGGCAGCCUGC